UGAGUUUUCCUUGCUUGUCUCUCGGGGUCACAAACGAGCUCCUGGUAGCUCUUAAAUUGCCACCCUGGGUAAAGUCCCCGGGCCUAGGAUAGAAAGUAUCAAGGCGUAAAACAAUUUGUACUUGUACAAAUUCGCCUAUAUUUCGCGGUAUUUCGCCUUGCGUAUUCCAAUGAAGAGAGACCCGCUCUAAGGGUCUCGAAUUGUUGCGCUCGGUUGACUGCGGAAAUGUGCCAGAGUUUGCUAAGAUAUGGACGAGUAGUGGGCGUGUCUGCGUGCACGCCUACUACACGGAAUGGGGCUUACUUAGGGAAAUUC
rnacentral:RNase_MRP_RNA from 1 species